rnacentral:rRNA from 1 species
GUGCCAGCGCAGUCAGCGGCGGCAGGAGAGAAUAACAAUGAUUCCCUCAGUAACUGCGAGUGAAGUGGGAUCAGCCCAACGUUGAAAGCUGUGCUCUUAACUGAGUAUUGCGUUGUAGCGUAUAGACCUGUAUUCGAGACAGUUACCUCUAUCAAAGUUACACCGAAUGGUACACCAUAGAGGGUGAUAGUCCCGUGCGUGAUAGAGGUUUAAAAAAUUGUCAAGUAACACAGAGUCGAAGAGUCGGAUUGUUUGGGAAUGCAGUCUAAAGCGGGUGGUAAACUCCAUCUAAGGCUAAAUAUAACCUUGAAACCGAUAGCGAAAAAGUACCGUGAGGGAAAGUUGAAAAGUACUCUGAAAAGAGAGUGAAAAGUGCGUGAAACCGUCAAUGGGGAAGCGUACGGUAGAAUCAAAGUGACCAGAGAAUAGUGCUAUCAUGAGUAACAUUUUGAUGGUAUUUUUUCUCCGGUUACGCGCUGGUUUCAUGGUUACGGUGAAUUGGUAACAUUGUCAGCUGUUGGCAUUGUACAAUCAACAAGAUUGAACACGCUGGCAGUGGCAGUGAAUUACUAUAUUUGCAGAUCAUGAAGUUACGUGAGAGUGGUGUAUUUGCUGUCAAGUUGCAGGUUAUUGACUGAGUUGUUUUGUUUCUAGUAACACCCCAAUAAGGUGUUGCCUGAAGGGAUGACUGUCAAUAGGGUGUAAGGUGGCGGAGGAAUGGAUUGCUCGAAGAGAAGUAAGCGUACAUAUUUCCAGCGAGAUAUGCUACUGUUCGACCCGUCUUGAAACACGGACCAAGGAGGCUAACAUAUGCGCGAGUCGAGGAGUGGAAAAACUCUAAGGCAUAACGAAAGUAAAAUGUGAGAUCUACUGCGAGUGAGCGGUAGCGCAUCACAGGCCAAUUUGAACAUUGACUAGAAUUGAGCUGGAGCGUGUAUGAUAGUACCCGAAAGAUGGUGAUCUAUGCCUGCUUAUAGCGAAGCCUAUUGAAAAAUAGGUGGAGGCUAGUAGAGAUUCUGACGUGCAAAUCGAUCUUCAAAAGUGGGUAUAGGGGCGAAAGACUAAUCGAACCAUCUAGUAGCUGGUUCCCUCCGAAAUAUCCCUCAGGAUCGCUGAAACCUGCAGCACAGUUUCAUCAGGUAGAGCUAAUGAUUAGAGGUAUUGGGGUUAUUUGUGACCUCGACCUAUUCUCAAACUGCAAACUGGUGAGUUAGGUGUGACUAUUACUUGAUUGAAUAAGUCACACAUGUUGAAUGUAAAGGUUUCAAGUGGGCCGUUUUUGGUAAGCAGAACUGGCGAUGCGGGAUGAACCGAAAGUCGGGUUAAGGUGUCUAAAUGUAUGCCAACGGAUACCAUAAAAGGAGUUAACAGAUGAAGACAGCGAGACCAUGGCCUUGAAAGUCGGCAUUGGCUAAGAAGUGAUUAAACCCUUACUCGCCGAAUCUGUUAGCCCUGAAAAUGAAUGACGCUUUAGCGUACUACCGAUACCCGACCGUAUUUUGUAGAAAAAGUACGGGUAGGAGGGUGUAAUGAUUGCUUAGAAGAGUAAAGGCGACUUUACUUGGAGCAGUCAUUAGUACAGAUCUUGGUUUUAGUAGCAGCUUAUAGAAGUGAGAACCUUCUAGGCCGAAGUGGAGAAAGGUUCCGCGUGAACAGCAAUUGGACGCGGGUUAGUCGGUCCUAAGCAGAAGUUUACACACUGAGUAAUAGGAAACGUUUUGUAACUAGUUGGCUUUGUCGGCAGUGCAUCGUUUCAGUCUGCGAAAGGGAAUCAGGUUAAUAUUCCUGAACCAGGAUACGGAUAUUCGUUAAUUAGGUUGACGUGAGUUGACAUUUUUGAUGAAGAAGCGGUAACGCAAACGAAUUUGGAGAUGUUAUCAGCAGCUCUGGGAAGAGUUAUCUUUUCUGUUUAACCACACAAGGACCCUGGAGCAGAGUCAUUCGGAGAUAGGGUGAUAGUAUGGGAAGAGCGUCGCACAUCUGGUGGCGUCUGGAAUGCUGCUGAUAAUCCAUGAAAAUCCAAAGGAGUGAAUAAUUGUCGUGCCUGGCCGUACUGAGAUCCGCAUCAGGUCUCCUAGGUGAAUAGCCUCUGGCUCUAGAACAAUGUGGGUAAGGGAAGUCGGCAAAAUAGAUUCGUAACUUCGGGAAAAGGAUUGGCUCUAAGGAUUGGGCCAAUUGGGCUGUAUUUCAUGUUAGUAUUCGAUUUUCUACUGAGUGUACAAUCGUGUGCCACUCUUGGGUGUGUGCGCAUUGUGCAUUUGAUAGUGGUCGGAUUUCUAGCAUGGAUGCAGUUUGUAGAUGCAGAGGAGGUGGCGUCAGUUGCUUCUUUUGAUCUCUACCUCGCAGUUGGCUAAGAUCAAUCAACUUAGAACUGUCACUGACUAGGGGAAUCCGACUGUUUAAUUAAAACAAAGCAUUGCGAUGGCUGGAAACGGUGUUGACGCAAUGUGAAUUCUGCCCAGUGCUCUGAAUGUCAAAGUGCGGAAACGCAACCAAGCGC